ensembl:misc_RNA Metazoa_SRP Metazoan signal recognition particle RNA
GCCGGGCGUGGUGGCAGGCGCCUGUAAUCCCAGCUACUUAGGAGGCUGAGGCAGGAGAAUCGCUUGAACCCAGGAGGCAGAGGUUGCAGUGAGCCGAAUUUUGCCACUGUACUCCAGCCUGGGUGACAGAGCGAGACUCUGUCUUAA